AGAGUUUGAUCAUGGCUCAGAACGAACGCUGGCGGCAGGCCUAACACAUGCAAGUCGAACGAGAAGCCACCUUCGGGUGGUGGAAAGUGGCAGACGGGUGAGUAACGCGUGGGAACGUGCCUUUCGGUUCGGGAUAACCCAGGGAAACUUGGGCUAAUACCGGAUACGCCCUUCGGGGGAAAGAUUCAUCGCCGAAAGAUCGGCCCGCGUCGGAUUAGCUUGUUGGUGGGGUAAUGGCCUACCAAGGCGACGAUCCGUAGCUGGUCUGAGAGGAUGACCAGCCACACUGGGACUGAGACACGGCCCAGACUCCUACGGGAGGCAGCAGUGGGGAAUAUUGGACAAUGGGCGCAAGCCUGAUCCAGCCAUGCCGCGUGGGUGAAGAAGGCCUUAGGGUUGUAAACCCCUUUCAGCGGGGAAGAUAAUGACGGUACCCGCAGAAGAAGCCCCGGCUAACUCCGUGCCAGCAGCCGCGGUAAUACGGAGGGGGCUAGCGUUGUUCGGAAUUACUGGGCGUAAAGCGCGCGUAGGCGGACCUGCAAGUCAGGGGUGAAAUCCCGAGGCUCAACCUCGGAACUGCCUUUGAUACUGCGGGUCUCGAGUCCGGGAGAGGUGAGUGGAAUUCCUAGUGUAGAGGUGAAAUUCGUAGAUAUUAGGAAGAACACCAGUGGCGAAGGCGGCUCACUGGCCCGGUACUGACGCUGAGGCGCGAAAGCGUGGGGAGCAAACAGGAUUAGAUACCCUAGUAGUCC
rnacentral:rRNA from 1 species